UACGGGGGGGGGCAAGCGUUGUUCGGAAUUACUGGGCGUAAAGGGCUCGUAGGCGGCCAACUAAGUCGGAUGUGAAAUCCCCAGGCUUAACUUGGGAACUGCAUCCGAUACUGGAUGGCUUGAAUUCGGGAGAGGGAUGCAGAAUUCCAGGUGUAGCGGUGAAAUGCGUAGAUAUCUGGAGGAAUACCGGUGGCGAAGGCGGCAUCCUGGACCGACAUUGACGCUGAGGAGCGAAAGCUAGGGGAGCAAACGGG
rnacentral:rRNA from 1 species